rnacentral:rRNA from 1 species
UACGUAGGGUGCGAGCGUUGUCCGGAAUUACUGGGCGUAAAGAGCUUGUAGGUGGUUUGUCGCGUUGUUCGUGAAAACUCACAGCUCAACUGUGGGCGUGCGGGCGAUACGGGCAGACUAGAGUACUGCAGGGGAGACUGGAAUUCCUGGUGUAGCGGUGGAAUGCGCAGAUAUCAGGAGGAACACCGGUGGCGAAGGCGGGUCUCUGGGCAGUAGCUGACGCUGAGAAGCGAAAGCGUGGGGAGCGAACAGG